UAGGUGGUGAAAUACAAACAUAUUUUAUUUUACAAGAAAAUCAAAAUGUCUAUAGGCACAUACACUGUUUUACUCUUCUGUCUGGUCACAGAAGCUGUUUUGGGAGUGGAACUGGAGCAAAAAGAUCUCUCCAUGACAAAAGUGGAAGGCAAAACUGUAAGUAUCAGCUGCAAAGUGACCGGAUUAACCACUAGCUAUGUCCACUGGUACCAAAAGAAAGAAGAUGAAGCCCUAAAAAGGAUUCUAUACGUUAAAAAAGGAAGCUCAGCUGUUCCUGAUAACAGCCAUCCUGAAGCCAAGGAUUUCGAUGUGAGAAUCCAGUCUGAUAAUUAUGAUCUGAAGAUAACAAACCUGAAGAAAAGUCACUCAGCAGUUUAUUACUGCGCCAGCUGGGCAGACUCGCACAGUGAAAGAAAAUAUCCACAUCUUGUACAGAAACCUGCACUGUACACAACCACAACAGAAAUACAGCUUUGA